AUGACGUCAGUUGCUAAAUUUCCAGUUCCAGUGAUUGAAGAAUUGCUCGAUGAACUUCACGGGGCAGUAUGGUUCUCUAAACUCGACCUUCGAGCAGGAUAUUACCAGAUCAGGAUCGCAGAGGGCGACGAGUACAAGACUACCUUCCAGACCCAUUCGGGACACUUUGAAUUCCUGGUGCUUUCAAUGGGACUAGCAGGGGGUCCAUCCACCUUCAACGGCGCGAUGAUUGAUACUAUGCAUCCUCUGCUCCGCAAGUGUGUUCUGCUGUUCUUUGACGAUAUCCUAGUCUUCAGCCGCACGCUAGAAGAUCAUACAGCUCACCUUAAGCAAGUUUUCCAGCUCCUGCGAAGAGAUCAGUGGAAGAUCAAGGCUUCUAAAUGUUGCUUUGGCCAGCAGAAGCUGUCUUAUUUGGGGCACGUCAUCAGUGCGGAAGGGGUUGCCACAGAUCCUGGCAAGAUUCAAGCCGUGACGCAGUGGCCUACACCGACUGAUGUUAAAGAGGUCCGGCGAUUCCUCGGGCUUGCCGGUUAUUACCGUCGCUUCGUCCGCCAUUUUGGCAUCAUCGCACGUCCGUUGUUCAACCUGCUCAAGAAGGGGGCACCAUUUGUUUGGACGCAGGCAACAGAAGAGUCAUUCCAGCUGCUUAAACAAGGUCUCGUCACAGCCCUAGUUCUAGCAUUGCCUAAUUUCUCUCAACCUUUCAUCAUGGAAACAGAUGCAUGCGACGCGGGCGUGGGAGCAGUGCUGCAGCAGCAGGGACAUCCGAUUGCAUAUAUGAGCAAAGCAUUGUCCCCCAAAUUCCAAGGGUUGUCAACAUAUGAAAAAGAGUAUCUCGCGGUGGUCGUGGCAGUUGAGCAGUCGAGGCCCUACUUGCAGCACAGCGAGUUCGUCAUUCAGACUGACCAGAAGAGUCUCAUUCAUCUCGAGGAACAGAGACUGACUACACCAUGGCAGCAGAAGGCUUUCACAAAGCUGCUGGGUCUUCGUUAUUCUAUCAAAUACAAGAAAUGA
rnacentral:rRNA from 1 species